rnacentral:rRNA from 1 species
UGGCGCACGGGUGCGUAACGCGUAUGCAACCUACCUUAAUCAGGGGGAUAGCCCGAAGAAAUUCGGAUUAAGACCGCAUAAAAACACAGGAUAGCAUUAUCCAAUGUUCAAAUAUUUAUAGGAUUAAGAUGGGCAUGCGUGUCAUUAGCUAGUUGGCGGGGUAACGGCCCACCAAGGCGACGAUGACUAGGGGAUCUGAGAGGAUGACCCCCCACACUGGUACUGAGACACGGACCAGACUCCUACGGGAGGCAGCAGUAAGGAAUAUUGGUCAAUGGAGGGAACUCUGAACCAGCCAUGCCGCGUGCAGGAAGACAGCCCUCUGGGUCGUAAACUGCUUUUAUUCGGGAAUAAACCUACUUACGUGUAAGUAGCUGAAUGUACCGAAGGAAUAAGGAUCGGCUAACUCCGUGCCAGCAGCCGCGGUAAUACGGAGGAUCCAAGCGUUAUCCGGAUUUAUUGGGUUUAAAGGGUGCGUAGGCGGCUUAUUAAGUCAGGGGUGAAAGACGGUGGCUCAACCAUCGCAGUGCCCUUGAUACUGAUGAGCUUGAAUACACUAGAGGUAGGCGGAAUGUGACAAGUAGCGGUGAAAUGCAUAGAUAUGUCACAGAACACCGAUUGCGAAGGCAGCUUACUAUGGUGUUAUUGACGCUGAGGCAC